rnacentral:rRNA from 1 species
GAGUUUGAUCGUGGCUCAGAUUGAACGCUGGCGGCAUGCCUUACACAUGCAAGUCGAACGGCAGCACGGGAGCUUGCUCCUGGUGGCGAGUGGCGAACGGGUGAGUAAUGCAUCGGAACGUAUCCUGGAGUGGGGGAUAACGUAGCGAAAGUUACGCUAAUACCGCAUAUUCUGUGAGCAGGAAAGCGGGGGACCUUCGGGCCUCGCGCUCUUGGAGCGGCCGAUGUCGGAUUAGCUAGUUGGUGAGGUAAAGGCUCACCAAGGCGACGAUCCGUAGCAGGUCUGAGAGGAUGAUCUGCCACACUGGAACUGAGACACGGUCCAGACUCCUACGGGAGGCAGCAGUGGGAAUUUUGGACAAUGGGGGCAACCCUGAUCCAGCCAUGCCGCGUGAGUGAAGAAGGCCUGGUUGUAAGUAC